GACGAACGCUGGCGGCGUGCUUAACACAUGCAAGUCGAACGGAGUCUAAAAAUUACCACUGAGAUCUUAGUCAGUGGGCGAGCAGCGUCAUGGACACGAAGUGGCCAUCACGCGUUAAAAAGUGCCAACACAGGGCUGAGGCCUGAGUGGUGAUUUUUAGACUGAGUGGCAAACGGGUGAGUAACACGUAGGCAACCUGCCGACAGGAUGGGGACAACAUUCCGAAAGGAAUGCUAAUACCGAAUGGAGUCCGGAGAUGGCAUCAUCACCGGAUAAAAGAUGGCCUCUGAAUAUGCUAUCGCCUGUCGAUGGGCCUGCGUCUGAUUAGCCAGUUGGCGGGGUAACGGCCCACCAAAGCGACGAUCAGUAGCCGGCCUGAGAGGAUGAACGGCCACAUUGGGACUGAGACACGGCCCAGACUCCUACGGGAGGCAGCAGUGGGGAAUCUUCCACAAUGGGCGAAAGCCUGAUGGAGCAACGCCGCGUGAGUGAAGAAGGUCUUCGGAUCGUAAAGCUCUGUUGCACGGGACGAAAACCGAGCUUGAGAAUAUUGAGUUUGGGGACG
rnacentral:rRNA from 1 species